AUUGAACGCUGGCGGCAGGCCUAACACAUGCAAGUCGAGCGGCAGCGGAAAGUAGCUUGCUACUUUGCCGGCGAGCGGCGGACGGGUGAGUAAUGUCUGGGAAACUGCCUGAUGGAGGGGGAUAACUACUGGAAACGGUAGCUAAUACCGCAUAACGUCGCAAGACCAAAGAGGGGGACCUUCGGGCCUCUUGCCAUCAGAUGUGCCCGGAUGGGAUUAGCUAGUAGGUGGGGUAACGGCUCACCUAGGCGACGAUCCCUAGCUGGUCUGAGAGGAUGACCAGCCACACUGGAACUGAGACACGGUCCAGACUCCUACGGGAGGCAGCAGUGGGGAAUAUUGCACAAUGGGCGCAAGCCUGAUGCAGCCAUGCCGCGUGUAUGAAGAAGGCCUUCGGGUUGUAAAGUACUUUCAGCGGGGAGGAAGGUGUUGUGGUUAAUAACCACAGCAAUUGACGUUACCCGCAGAAGAAGCACCGGCUAACUCCGUGCCAGCAGCCGCAGUAAGAC
rnacentral:rRNA from 1 species